UACGUAGGGUGCAAGCGUUGUCCGGAAUUAUUGGGCGUAAAGAGCUCGUAGGCGGUUUGUCGCGUCUGCUGUGAAAUCCCGAGCUCAACCUCGGGUCUGCAGUGGGUACGGGCAGACUAGAGUGCGGUAGGGGAGACUGGAAUUCCUGGUGUAGCGGUGAAAUGCGUAGAUAUCAGGAGGAACAUCGAUGGCGAAGGCAGCCCCUUGGACCUGUACUGACGACUCAUGCUACGAAAGCGUGGGGAGCAAACAGG
rnacentral:rRNA from 1 species